UACAGAGGGUGCGAGCGUUUAAUCGGAAUUACUGGGCGUAAAGGGCGCGUAGGCGGUUGAUUAAGUUGGAUGUGAAAUCCCUGGGCUUAACCUAGGAACUGCAUACAAUACUGAUUGACUAGAGUGCUGUAGAGGGUAGUGGAAUUUCCGGUGUAGCGGUGAAAUGCGUAGAUAUCGGAAGGAACACCAGUGGCGAAGGCGGCUACCUGGACAGACACUGACGCUGAGG
rnacentral:rRNA from 1 species